rnacentral:rRNA from 1 species
UGUACACACCGCCCGUCGCACCUACCGAUUGAAUGGUCCGGUGAAGCCUCGGGAUUGUGGCCAGUGUCCUCACGGGUGUUGGUUGCGAGAACUUGUCUAAACCUUAUCAUYUAGAGGAAGGUGAA